UCCCUCUUAGCUCAGUGGUAGAGCGCUUCACUCGUAUAGAAGAAGAACUGGGAGAUUAACCUGAUGAAGAGGCCAGUCGUUCAAGUCGGCUAGAGGGAA